UCGUCCAAUCGCAUCUUUCGCACAAGUCGCACGCUAACCUCGCCUUCGGUGUUCGGCUCGCUUGUACAGAGCUAUGAAAAAAGCGAAAUAAUUGUUGUAUAUGUGCAAAUAAUUGCAAGUUUGAUAUCUAAUUAACAAAAGUGUUUGCACAAAAUAAAUAGUAGUCUGUGAAAAAAAAAGUGUUAAAGUGAAAUACUUAGUGCGCGUUUUUUUUUUUUUUGGAUCAAGCAAAAUCGUACGCUUAAACUUCGCCCAAAAAACGGUACAGAGCAGCCGGAUUUGGUGACUUCGUCUUUUAAUGCUACAACAAAAUUUUUUCUUGUACAUUUCGUGACGGUCCAUAGUCAACGCAAUUUCAAUUGUAAGCCAUCAUCAUUCGCCAACCAAACCGAGUGUAGUACAUAGUUGGCAAAUUUCUCGUAUCCGUUGUGUAUUGUUUUCGGCAUCGUCAUUUGGUCGUAGCGUCAUUUCGUCACUUGAAACGCUGUCGUUUUCGUUUGUGCCCGAAUUUUUUCGUGCUUGUGCAAAUCGCUGUGCGUUGGUAUUCGCAACACCAACACCUGCCUAAGAAAGUAAAACAAGAAACAGACUGCCGUUGCCGGAAAACAAACUUUUGUUUGAAAAAAAAAAUUAAGUAAUCGAGUCUCGAUGAAUUGAAAUCGAACACUUGUUAAGGAGCUUGAAAAAAAUAGAAAUAAAAUUAAAAUAAAUUCGACGCGUUCAAAGACAAAAGUUUGGAAAAGUAAAUAAACAAACAAAAAUAAGUAAAAAUUCUCUUGGCAGCAAACUUUUGUCAUUUGUCAAUCGUUUAAAGCAAUAAAGCAAAUGAAAGCGGAAAACCAAAAACAAAAACCAAAAUAAGAAAAAGUUGCAGUAAGCAAAAGCGUUUAGCGAAGGCCUUUUGCAGAACAGUAGCUCAAUAACAGCAAAAAAUAACAAACGCCCGCGAUAAAUAUAUAUCAACAAUUCGACUGUGCAGCGGUAAAAGUGAAGUGAAAUCAGUGUUUAAAAAUAAUUACAGCAGCAAGUGUUUAAUAAAUCCGUUUUGCAUCGUUGCGUCCCUGCGACGCACGUGCAUCGGCACUUUCUGAUA